GUCCACGCCCUAAACGAUGGAUACUAAGUGUCGGCGGGUUACCGCCGGUGCCGCACCUAACGGAGUAAGUAUCCCGCCUGGGGAGUACGGCCGCAAGGUUGAAACUCAAAGGAAUUGACGGGGGCCCGCACAAGCGGUGGUGCAUGUGGUUUAAUUCGACGCAACGCGAAGAACCUUACCCAGGCUUGACAUGCUGGUUUUAAGAACCGGAAACGGCAAUGAACCCGCAAGGGUAGCCAGCACAGGUGCUGCAUGGCUGUCGU
rnacentral:rRNA from 1 species